GAUGAACGCUGGCGGCGUGCCUAAUACAUGCAAGUCGAGCGAACGGACGAGAAGCUUGCUUCUCUGAUGUUAGCGGCGGACGGGUGAGUAACACGUGGAUAACCUACCUAUAAGACUGGGAUAACUUCGGGAAACCGGAGCUAAUACCGGAUGAUAUUUUGAACCGCAUGGUUCAAAAGUGAAAGACGGUCUUGCUGUCACUUAUAGAUGGUUCCGCGCUGCAUUAGCUAGUUGGUAAGGUAACGGCUUACCAAGGCAACGAUGCAUAGCCGACCUGAGAGGGUGAUCGGCCACACUGGAACUGAGACACGGUCCAGACUCCUACGGGAGGCAGCAGUAGGGAAUCUUCCGCAAUGGGCGAAAGCCUGACGGAGCAACGCCGCGUGAGUGAUGAAGGUCUUCGGAUCGUAAAACUCUGUUAUUAGGGAAGAACAUAUGUGUAAGUAACUGUGCACAUCUUGACGGUACCUAAUCAGAAAGCCACGGCUAACUACGUG
rnacentral:rRNA from 1 species